rnacentral:misc_RNA from 1 species
CGGGCAUGUAUUUAUAGAUCAAAGCUCUUCUAGUCCUCUCAUAGCAAAACCCUAAAAGAGUAACUAUAUUUACAUGGGAAGUUCUACUAAUGCUUCCAACUUCAUUAAUGAAUUCUUCCCCCUCACCUGUAGACUUGCUUAGAACUUUUAUGGCCACAAAGCGACCAUCUGGUAAUUUUCCUUUGUAUACACCUCCAAAUCCUCCUUCACCUAGCUUAUGGAUGAAUGAGUUGGUCAUUUUCUUUAUAUCUGCGUAUGAAUAUCGCUUUGGCAUGAGAGAAGGAUAGUUCAUAAUAAAUGCCUCUAUCUUUUCAUCUUCUUUACUAUUUUCCCACAACAAUGUCUUUACUUUGUCACUGCAAAAUCC